rnacentral:misc_RNA from 1 species
GCAAACUUGGUCAUUUAGAGGAAGUAAAAGUCGUAACAAGGUUUCCGUAGGUGAACCUGCGGAAGGAUCAUUACCGAGUAUUGGGCGCAAGCCCGUACCCACACCCUGUGUCGACCAUCUGUGUUGCUUCGGCGGGCCGUCCAGGUCCCUGGCCCCCGGCUUCGGCUGGGGUGCGCCCGCCGGAGGACCUAUCUAAACGCAUGAUAAACGGGUCUGUCCGAGGAUACAUAAAUCAGUCAAAACUUUCAACAACGGAUCUCUUGGUUCGGGCAUCGAUGAAGAACGCAGC